GUCAUGUUUUUGUUGCAUCUUGGUCAUGUUUAUGGUGCAUCUUGGUCAUGUUUUUUGUUCAUGUUUUUGUUGCGUAUUUGUCACGUUCAACACAUUUUUCUUACGUUUGUCAUAUUUUUGCGGUUCAUCACAGUUAAAUUACACUAAAAAACUAAAUGCGGCCAAAAACACUACAAAAAAAAAGCAAUGAAAAUGUGACAAAAAUACUUACAAUGAGCAACAAAAAGAUGAGUUUUGUCGGCCUUAGCUUUCAAAUGAGCUUUUACACUGGCCUAUAGGCUGUGAGCUCUCAGGUCAGGACGCUUUAAGACUCGAGUAAUGCUGAACUGGAGAAAAAGUGCUCGGUUACGGGUCUGUGCCACAUGUUGGUGUUUUGGUGUCCAGCAAACUUUAAACAAUAUUUAUUUAUCUUGCAGAUUCCACGGGGGAAAAGAACAAGAAUUUUACUUGAACUGAAGUGAACCACUGCGCAGACGGGUAAACACGCCGCUAUCCUACCACCCAGAGUUAAUGUGAUCGACAAACGUUUACAUAGAUCGAAUCUCCUUCAUUUUCAAGAAUAUAUGUAGAAAUAUUUACACGUGUGUUGCCUCUGAGACGGAUUGCCGUACCAUUCCAGUCAAACAGUCCUGGGUGAACAAAGGUCCUUCCGAUGGCACAUGAUCGGUUUGAGUGUCUGCACGUUUGCCGACGUGUCAGUGCGUGGGCCCCUCUGCGCCGAGCAGGAGGUUUCUACAGUCCGAGGGUUGCAUUUAUGGAUAAGUGCGCUGCUGCCGAUGCGGUUCUCACAGCUCAGCCGCUUCUCUUCCGGCGUGUUGGAGGCCAGAAACGCUCUCUGGAUCACUCGCUUCGGGGUCUUGGUGAAGGAGAACGCCCGCGUCACCUAAAAGAUAUCAGACGGUAUUGUAAAGUUAGGAUAGCAGGAAUAAGCAGUAGUAUAGGAGGGGAAUACGUUUGUGUACGACUGCUCUUUUAAGUCAGACUCUUGGUUAAACGGACAUAAUGAAAACUUGUAAGUCUUGCCGGUGGGAUUUAAAAAGCAAAUUCAAAAGGGAUUCAUUUAUUCUUCAAAGAGAUGCUAGAUCUACAAUUUGAACUACAACAACAUUAAGAAUGAGCAGCACACUUUUACACAUUCAGUAC
rnacentral:lncRNA from 1 species